rnacentral:rRNA from 1 species
UACGAAGGGGGCUAGCGUUGUUCGGAAUCACUGGGCGUAAAGCGCACGUAGGCGGCUUGUUAAGUCAGGGGUGAAAUCCUGGAGCUCAACUCCAGAACUGCCUUUGAUACUGGCGAUCUUGAGUCCGGGAGAGGUGAGUGGAACUGCGAGUGUAGAGGUGAAAUUCGUAGAUAUUCGCAAGAACACCAGUGGCGAAGGCGGCUCACUGGCCCGGUACUGACGCUGAGGUGCGAAAGCGUGGGGAGCAAACAGG